UACGUAGGUGGCAAGCGUUAUCCGGAUUUAUUGGGCGUAAAGGGAACGCAGGCGGUCCUUUAAGUCUGAUGUGAAAGCCUUCGGCUUAACCGGAGUAGUGCAUUGGAAACUGGGAGACUUGAGUGCAGAAGAGGAGAGUGGAACUCCAUGUGUAGCGGUGAAAUGCGUAGAUAUAUGGAAGAACACCAGUGGCGAAAGCGGCUCUCUGGUCUGUAACAGACGCUGAGGUUCGAAAGCGUGGGUAGCAAACAGG
rnacentral:rRNA from 1 species